AUAAUAUGGCUUUUUUCCUACUUGAUUCAAAAUUUAAAUGAAAUAUUUGAAAUAUUGAAGAUAAGAAGCCAGAAUAUUAUAUAAUUCAUAUCCCAUUUUUGAUCAAGAGAUUUUUUUUUAUUGAAUUGUAAAAAAUAUCUGGUUAAUACCAUCAAAAUUAAUUUCACAGUAAAGGAAGCCUCAUUUUAGCAAUUAUACUUUUUCCCUUGAAAUUUCCAGUGUUCAAUCUCUAUAACUGCAUAUUGAAAUUUUGCAUCCAUUUAAUCAUGUUAAUACUAUAUCAUCAGCAUAUGAUUUCAUUUAUGCUCUUGUGAAGCUAAUUUAACUUCCUAUUCUGUAUUCUUGGCAUAUUUGAAUUGCCAAAAGUCUAAUGUUAAUAAAAGUAGAAAAGGGAAGAAAGGUCCUUUAAUAUUACUUCAUAUCUUCAGCAUAAAUGGUUGAGGCAAGUCCAUCUGUUUUCUUGUUUCUUUACAACAUAAAAAUAACUUCUACAGUUAAAGAAGAAGAUUGAGAUAGACAGCAGAUUUAAGACUUUUGGAGGAAUUGUGGAAUAUUGUAUCUGUCCGCCAGUUAAAAUUUAGUAUAUAUUGACCUCAAGACAACUGAGGGUAUGAUUCUUAAUACAUAUGCACCUUAAUAGGUAUGGAAAAUGUGCACACCAAGAUAAAGAGGCCUGGAACUACAACCCAAGAGGUUCUGUAUGCACCUGCUUUAUUAGGAUAUCAUUAAUGUGCCAUUUAUGCAUCCUAUGAUAAUGUCAUAUAAAAAUAAAAGUGUAAUAAUAAUCACAAGUUGUUCUACAGAACAGAAGAAUACCAGAGUUACAGCACUGCUGGAAGCAUAUUCUGAUUAAAAUGGAGGAAGAAUCAUGAUUACUUAGGGAUAAAAGUGUAAAUGAUUCCAGAAGCAGUGUAAUUAGUGACUCCACUUGGGCUGAGAUAGUUCCAGCAAUCUCCCACAAUGCCUUUCAUGCACCCACUCCAGCUCUGAAAUCCAACUACCCAGUAUUAAGCAGAGGUCUGUAAGCAAGUUUCAAUAACAAAGAGAAAAAUGUGUGAGAUUUGCCAAGAGGAGACGUGGCAAGAAAUAAGCCCGCUGAAGAGUAGACUGCCACAACUAUGUAUUGGGCAGAGGCUCAGCCUGGCUGAUUUAUUGGCCAUCUUCCCUGGGAGCAGAAGCUAAAACAAUUUUUCAAGACUUGGUUCAAGUUUACAUUGUUGGGUUGCACUAAGAACUCUGGAUUCCACCUCAUAAUUGUUUCUUAUCUUUUCCCUUUUGGCUAUUUACUGGAUUGCUGAUGUCAAUCUGUGCCAAGCGUGUAUCUUGUUUUAUAGUUGCCCUCUUAAGAUACUGCUAAAAAGAAUUGCUUUAAAAGUUCUGCCAGGAUUAGCAUAGCCCUGAACUACAGCAGACAUCCAGCUUCCAAUCUUGUUGGCUAGUAACUAUCAGUGCCAGCAUAAAAUAGCUAGAGUGAAGGGCUCUAUGCCCUGGCUCAUUCCCACAGGGAACAGACAAAAUUAUUACAUAAUCUGCAUAUAACAGAGCUGGAAUUGCACAAAUUUGAGCUGGAAACACUACUGCUUUAGGAUCUAGAUAAAAAGAAGCAAUAUUUUAUCCUUUUAAUUUUUUCCCAUGGGCUGUAUUCAAAUCAAAUCAUUUGAAAGCCUCAAGUUAAUGUAUCAAAAGGUUGCACUUACAUGCCACAGUAAUAGGGUUCUAAACAUAAUACAGGUAGCCUUGACUUAAACUGUCUGUUCAGAGUUACAACAGUGUUGAAAACUUUCACACGACCAUUGCCACAUCCCGAUGGUCACAUGAUCAAAAUUCAGAUGAAAAAUUUGAAUAAUCUA